GCAGAGUAGGAACUGGCGCGUAAAGUGCCGGCUGAACAGGGAGUUGUCAGCCGGACGAAAAAUCUCCGGAUUUGCGGUGCCGGCUCCGCAUCCCGCUGC
rnacentral:ncRNA from 1 species